rnacentral:rRNA from 1 species
UACAGAGGGUGCAAACGUUGCUCGGAAUCACUGGGCGUAAAGGGCGUGUAGGCGGGAAGGCAAGUCAGAUGUGAAAUCCCUGGGCUCAACCCAGGAACUGCAUUUGAAACUCCCUUUCUUGAGUGUCGGAGAGGAAAGCGGAAUUCCUGGUGUAGAGGUGAAAUUCGUAGAUAUCAGGAGGAACACCGGUGGCGAAGGCGGCUUUCUGGACGACAACUGACGCUGAGACGCGAAAGCGUGGGGAGCAAACAGG